rnacentral:misc_RNA from 1 species
AAGAGUUAUCUAACUCCCAAAACCAUGUGAACUUACCUAUGUUGCCUCGGCGGGGGAACCCUACCCGGUAGCUACUCUGUAGCUGUUGUGUGUAGGCUUACCCCGCCGGCGGACCCCCUCCAAACUCUUUGUUUUUUUUGGCACUUCUGAGUUAUUAUACUUAAUAAGUUA